AUUGAACGCUGGCGGUAGGCCUAACACAUGCAAGUCGAACGCGAAAGUCCUUCGGGAUGAGUAGAGUGGCGGACGGGUGAGUAACGCGUAGGAAUCUAUCCUGUAGUGGGGGAUAACGUUUCGAAAGGAACGCUAAUACCGCAUACGCCCCACGGGGGAAAGCGGGGGAUCUUCGGACCUCGUGCUAUAGGAGGAGCCUGCGUCGGAUUAGCUGGUUGGUGAGGUAAAGGCUCACCAAGGCGACGAUCCGUAGCUGGUCUGAGAGGAUGAUCAGCCACACCGGAACUGAGACACGGUCCGGACUCCUACGGGAGGCAGCAGUGGGGAAUAUUGCGCAAUGGGCGAAAGCCUGACGCAGCCAUACCGCGUGUGUGAAGAAGGCCUUCGGGUUGUAAAGCACUUUCAGUGGGGAGGAAAAGCUGGUGGCUAAUAUCCAUCGGCCGUGACGCUACCCACAGAAGAAGCACCGGCUAAUUCCGUG
rnacentral:rRNA from 1 species